UACGUAGGGUGCAAGCGUUGUCCGGAAUUAUUGGGCGUAAAGAGCUCGUAGGCGGUCUGUCGCGUCUGCUGUGAAAACUCAGGGCUUAACCCUGAGCUUGCAGUGGGUACGGGCAGACUAGAGUGCGGUAGGGGAGACUGGAAUUCCUGGUGUAGCGGUGAAAUGCGCAGAUAUCAGGAGGAACACCGGUGGCGAAGGCGGGUCUCUGGGCCGGAACUGACGCUGAGGAGCGAAAGCGUGGGGAGCGAACAGG
rnacentral:rRNA from 1 species